CUAUGUACUAUGUAGUAUUUACUACUGUCACCAAUGACCAAUCGCCAUUUUGAAUUGAAAGAAGACCGAUUAUUGAUAAUUCAUAUUAAUUAUUAUUAAAAUAAUAACUUUGUAGUUGUGAAAGCCGUUUUGUGUCGACUGUUGUAAAUUUUUAAUUAAGUGUUAUGGAAGUAACGUUUAUGUAAAUUAAAAUACAGACAGAAAACCACAUUUUUACCGCAAAUAUGAAUAACAAGGAGAGCUAUAAUGAUGAUUUAUUUCAAUACAUAAAAGUAAGUGAGGACGAAGAUGAAUCUAAUGCAGUGGAAAUUCCUUGUGAAUUAAACGGAACACUUUUACUAUCAACAUUAGUAGCACAGUUUCCUGGGGCGUGUGGACUUAAAUUUCGGAAUCCUGAAAACAAAUGUGUUCGAGGUUUACGGCUUAGCGAUGGCAAGCUGCACCCUCCCACAGAAGCUGGAUGGGGUAAGCACCUUUACACCUGUGUUUUUCCUAAAGAAAAUAAACGGAAAAUGGAAGAUGUGUCUCCAGAAAAUUCUGCGGCUAAGACUAAGCGAUUAGAAAAAAAACUCAUAUGCUCUGACUUAAUAUGUUUGGGAUUGCCUUGGAAGUCUACUGAAGAGUCUAUAAAGCAAUACUUUGAGCAAUUUGGUGAAGUUGUAAUGGUGCAAUUAAAAAAAGAUAAGAAUGGAUCAUUUAAAGGCUUUGGUUUUAUUCGUUUUGCUACUUAUGCAUCUCAAAUGAGAGCACUAGCUCAAAGACAUAAUAUUGAUGGUCGAUGGGUAGAUGUGCGUAUUCCUAAUUCUAAAGAAGGUGUUGUGCCACAAAUGCCCUGUAAAGUAUUUGUAGGCAGGUGCACUGAAGACAUGACAGCAGAUGAUCUCAGAGAAUAUUUUUCCAAAUUUGGAGAGGUCACAGAUGUUUUUGUUCCAAGACCUUUUAGAGCUUUUGGAUUUGUGACUUUCUUAGAUCCAGAAGUAGCGCAGAGUCUUUGUGGGGAGGAUCAUGUUAUUAAAGGAGCUUCUGUCUCAGUUUCUAGUGCAGCACCAAAAAUUAAAAACAAAAACAAUCCAACAUGGAAAGAGGAACAAUAUGGAUCCAAUAGUUGGGAUGGAAAUCAUUCAGGCCCCUCUGGUGGCUCAACCAACAAUGGAGGAAGCAGUAACAUUGAUUCUUUGAAUAUGCAAAACUUGGGUAUAAAUCCCAACGGAGGUGGACCACCACCCAAUUUUAAUUUACCAAUAAGCCUUGUAGCUGCUGCCUUAAAUCAGGCCGGUUGGAGUGGGUUUUUGGGUCCUAACAAUUCUGGGCCAAAUAAUUGGGGCCAAAAUGGUCCGCCCCAGAACAGCAACUCAGGUAAAAACUGGAAUAAUAAUCCUAAUUGGAACCAAAAUGGACCACCACCAUCGUGGAAUCAAGGCAACCCUAAUUGGAAUGGUAAUAAAAAUGGCAAUUGGAACCAAGGCAAUUGGUCAAAUGGGCAAGGUUGGGGUGGCAAUGGUGGCUCCGGGCCAGCAGGCUCUAACAGUGGAUGGAACAACAAACCUCAAACAUAAGCGAGGAAAGGUAAUAUAACAUGAAGCAGAUGCCUUGGUGUCUGAAUGUGUGAUGUGGAGUCUCCUGAAGAUAGAAAUAAUUAAAGCUGCCUAUUCUCUGUGACAUAUUGGAGCUCUUAACUAUGGAUUUAACUAAUAUCAGUGACCCUGAAGGAUGUCUUGUGUGGUUUAAAGGUUGAACUGAACAGUCCUUUCGCCGAAGAAUCUCAAUAAAUCUGGUGAAAUUUUUCAAGAAAAAUAGGUAAGUUGUAAUAUAUUGUUAUUUUAAUUAUACAUAAGAUUUUUUUGUUACAGGGAAUGGACUAGGAUGGCGGGGAGAUGAAAUCAUUUACAUAAUAAAAUUUUUAAAAAUAAAACUAUUUUUCUAUUAAA